CUGAGCCGGCCAUCAAGGCCAUGUGGCCCUGUCCCACUCAACUCACUCCAGUUCCUGUACAGCUGCAGUAACAAUGGCCCUGGAGGACAUAAAACAGUGUUGCUUGCUGCUGGACUCCAAUAGGGUCACAGACCGCAAGAAAGGGUGCGAUCGGCUGCAGCAUCUUUUAAAUAAUUCAAACAUUGUUUCACAUUUGGAUACCAGGCCUAGUGACAGCUUCAACUGGGACCAAGUCUUCUUCAGUGUGAAGAAAUACUUCCUCAAGG